rnacentral:rRNA from 1 species
GACGGAGGAUGCAAGCGUUAUCCGGAAUGAUUGGGCGUAAAGCGUCCGCAGGUGGCAGUUCAAGUCUGCUGUCAAAGACCGGGGCUUAACUUCGGAAAGGCAGUGGAAACUGAACAGCUAGAGUAUGGUAGGGGCAGAGGGAAUUCCUGGUGUAGCGGUGAAAUGCGUAGAGAUCAGGAAGAACAUCGGUGGCGAAGGCGCUCUGCUGGACCAUAACUGACACUCAGGGACGAAAGCUAGGGGAGCGAAUAGG